rnacentral:lncRNA from 1 species
UGCAUGCAGAUUUUAUCAUGUGAUUAUUUUAGAUUUUAUAUACAACAUAUCAUAUCAUAGAUCUUAGAGUAGAUUGAUCUGAUGAUUAGAUCAUAUUCAUGUUAAAUUAAUUUGAUUAAUCUAGUUGACUUUCACUAUAUUUUAUUUCAAAAAUUUUUGAAAUACAUGCAUAAAAUUAUCUAUAUUUUUCAAUAGUGGUAUUAAAGCCUAAGUUUGUUAUGACAUAUUAUAUAUGCAUAUUAAAUCUAAAAUUUAAUUUUAUUUAGAUCUGAUAUAUGAUAUCUUUGAUUUGAAUUUAAUUAAUGAU